GUACUCGGGGAUAGCCUUUCGAAAGAAAGAUUAAUACCCGAUGGCAUAGUUCUUCCGCAUGGUAGAACUAUUAAAGAAUUUCGGUCAUCGAUGGGGAUGCGUUCCAUUAGGUUGUUGGCGGGGUAACGGCCCACCAAGCCUUCGAUGGAUAGGGGUUCUGAGAGGAAGGUCCCCCACAUUGGAACUGAGACACGGUCCAA
rnacentral:rRNA from 1 species